UACGGGGGGAGCAAGCGUUGUUCGGAUUUACUGGGCGUAAAGGGCGCGUAGGCGGCCACCGCAAGUCAGUUGUGAAAUCUCUGGGCUUAACCCAGAAAGGUCAACUGAUACUGCGGGGCUGGAGUGCAGAAGGGGCAACUGGAAUUCUCGGUGUAGCGGUGAAAUGCGUAGAUAUCGAGAGGAACACCUGCGGCGAAGGCGGGUUGCUGGGCUGACACUGACGCUGAAGCGCGAAAGCUAGGGGAGCGAACGGG
rnacentral:rRNA from 1 species